CCCUUAGAUGUUCUGGGCCGCACGCGCGCUACACUGACGAAGUCAGCGAGCAUGUCCUACGCCGACAGGUGCGGGGAAUCUUGUCAAACUUCGUCGUGAUGGGGAUUGUUUAUUGAAAUUCUUGAUCAUCAACGAGGAAUUCCUAGUAAGCGCAAGUCAGCAGCUUGCGUUGAUUACGUCCCUGCCCUUUGUACACACCGCCCGUCGCUACUACCGAUUGAAUGGUUUAGUGAGAUCUUCGGAUUGGCGCCACUGUGGCUCAGCAAUGGGCUCGGUGGAUGCCGAAAAGUUGAUCAAACUUGAUCAUUUAGAGGAAGUAAAAGUCGUAACA
rnacentral:rRNA from 1 species